ensembl:lncRNA
GGCCUUGCAAGCCUAUCGCACUCUCUCUGAGGAAGUGGCUAACCCCUAGCCACCCUUACAACGGACAAAACAUCCCAUGGCUAGACAGCAGAUGAUCUGGGCAGGGACAGGCAGGGGACCAGCACACCGCAGAGUCAUCUCCAUAAAGCCAUGCUGUGGACCUGUGCCCUCUUCCACCUGGCCAUCUGCUGGGCAGGUGCUCUUCCCAGUGGGAGAAACAGACAAGAAAUUAAAGACAUUAACAGAGGAAGGAGCACACAGCUGUGAGAACAUAGAGCGGGAAGUGAUGGCCUAGAGCUGGGGAUGGCUUCUCAUAGGAAGUGAGGAUUGUCUUUCUUUGGGAGCUCUGGAAAGAAGUUCAUAUUUAUAGCAGCCUUCCGUAGUUCCCUCUUUGUAUUUGUCAAUUCUGCUGCAGUAACAAACAGCACCAAUACGUCAAUAGCUUAGAUCUUUUUUUUUUGGUUGUUGUUAUUCCUGCUUUUACUACAAGUUGGUGGCUUCAAGGUGCCUGCUAAGCUCUGCUCCCUGCAUCUCCUCAUUCCAGAAUCCAAACUGAAAGAUAGCUCAGUAUUUGGAACACACUGUUCUCAUGACAGAGGAAGAAGAACAAAAGAGCUGCUGGCAGAAACUCAGAGUGCUCCUCAGAGCAUCUGCUUGGACAUGACAUACAUUAUGUCCACCCAUGUUCAUUGACCAAAGCCUCUGGGCCACACUCAAACUCAGCUGGGUGGAACUUGUACCCCUCCCUCAGAAGGCACUGUAGGAAAUGAAGCAACAGGC